rnacentral:rRNA from 1 species
AUUGAACGCUGGCGGCAGGCUUAACACAUGCAAGUCGAGCGGAGAUGAGGUGCUUGCACCUUAUCUUAGCGGCGGACGGGUGAGUAAUGCUUAGGAAUCUGCCUAUUAGUGGGGGACAACAUUCCGAAAGGAAUGCUAAUACCGCAUACGUCCUACGGGAGAAAGCAGGGGAUCUUCGGACCUCGCGCUAAUAGAUGAGCCUAAGUCGGAUUAGCUAGUUGGUGGGGUAAAGGCCUACCAAGGCGACGAUCUGUAGCGGGUCUGAGAGGAUGAUCCGCCACACUGGGACUGAGACACGGCCCAGACUCCUACGGGAGGCAGCAGUGGGGAAUAUUGGACAAUGGGGGGAACCCUGAUCCAGCCAUGCCGCGUGUGUGAAGAAGGCCUUAUGGUUGUAAAGCACUUUAAGCGAGGAGGAGGCUACUGAGACUAAUACUCUUGGAUAGUGGACGUUACUCGCAGAAUAAGCACCGGCUAACACUGUGCCAGCAGCCGCGGUAA